rfam:Bacillus sp. CHD6a contig6, whole genome shotgun sequence.
GAAUGUGCUAAGACAGGAAUAAGUAGUACAAAUAGGCAUGCUUAAAGAGAGCUGAUGGUUGGUGAAAAUCAGUACACCUGUUUGGAUGAAUUACCUCCUCGAGCAUCUUUUGGGAACGGCCGCAUUUUAGCUUAGUAGCAGGAGACGGUGAGAACCGUUACAUUUUUGAGUGGGAAAGCGGCUUUGUCUGCUUUUCAAUUAGGGUGGUACCGCGUAUAAACUCGUCCCUUCU